rnacentral:rRNA from 1 species
UACGUAGGGGGCAAGCGUUGUCCGGAUUUAUUGGGCGUAAAGAGCGUGUAGGCGGCCAGGUAGGUCCGCUGUGAAAACUCGAGGCUCAACCUCGAGAUGUCGGCGGAAACCAUCUGGCUAGAGUCCGGAAGAGGAGAGUGGAAUUCCUGGUGUAGCGGUGAAAUGCGCAGAUAUCAGGAAGAACACCCGUAGCGAAGGCGGCUCUCUGGGACGGUACUGACGCUGAGACGCGAAAGCGUGGGGAGCGAACAGG